UACGUAGGGGGCUAGCGUUGUCCGGAUUUAUUGGGCGUAAAGAGCGUGUAGGCGGCCAGGUAGGUCUGGUGUGAAAACUCGAGGCUUAACCUCGAGAUGUCAUCGGAAACCAUCUGGCUAGAGUCCGGAAGAGGAGAGUGGAAUUCCUGGUGUAGCGGUGAAAUGCGCAGAUAUCAGGAGGAACACCGGUGGCGAAGGCGGCAUCCUGGACCGGUAUUGACGCUGAGGCGCGAAAGCCAGGGGAGCAAACGGG
rnacentral:rRNA from 1 species